rnacentral:rRNA from 1 species
UACGUAGGGUGCGAGCGUUAAUCGGAAUUACUGGGCGUAAAGCGUGCGCAGGCGGUUCGUUGUGUCUGAUGUGAAAGCCCCGGGCUCAACCUGGGAAUGGCAUUGGAAACUGGCGAGCUAGAGUGUGGCAGAGGGGGGUGGAAUUCCGCGUGUAGCAGUGAAAUGCGUAGAUAUCAGGAGGAAUACCGAUGGCGAAGGCAGGUCUCUGGGCUAUAACUGACGCUCAUGCACGAAAGCGUGGGGAGCAAACAGG